ensembl:lncRNA
GAGAAAAGAAAGUAAGAGUAUCCAAAGAGUCCUCAGGUCGACAUCUUGCCCAACAUUCCUCAGCAGGGAAGGUUUGGCAUACUAGAAGAGAUGAAGACGAAGAAACUGGAUUCCAAAUUUGCCUACACAAAAAUAUGCCACUUGUAUCUAAAGAUGACUAGGUUUAUUGAAUGAGACAGACCAACAUAGAGUGUAACAGCCUCUGCUGACAUUCUGAAAUCCUUCAUCAUUCGGCUUGAGGGAGUUUGCAGGCUGUCUCAGAGUUGCACAUAGCACGGAAUCCAAACAUGACCAAGUCUUCUGAGUCUCUUGAUCAAAACAGUUGAAACGAUAUCCUGCACAAAGAAAAACCUGCACUCAUUGAAAGGUUUUUGCUGCUGAGGACAGAGACUGAACGAGGCAGGCAAAACAAGACUGGAUAUCCGACCAACUCUACUGAGGCAACAAUCUCCAUGGCAACAGUUAUUAAUUCCACAUCCAUGACCUCUGAUGACCUCACCCUGAACUCCACAUCGAGCCACAGUUCGGAACCUUGGACACCAUCCCCUUGGUACCAAUUCCAUGUGUGCUCCGUAGCCC